GACGAACGCUGGCGGCGUGCUUAACACAUGCAAGUCGAACGGAAAGGCCCUGCUUUUGUGGGGUGCUCGAGUGGCGAACGGGUGAGUAACACGUGAGUAACCUGCCCUUGACUUUGGGAUAACUUCAGGAAACUGGGGCUAAUACCGGAUAGGAGCUCCUGCUGCAUGGUGGGGGUUGGAAAGUUUCGGCGGUUGGGGAUGGACUCGCGGCUUAUCAGCUUGUUGGUGGGGUAGUGGCUUACCAAGGCUUUGACGGGUAGCCGGCCUGAGAGGGUGACCGGCCACAUUGGGACUGGGAUACCGCCCAGACUCCUACGGGAGGCAGGAGUGGGGAAUAUUGCACAAUGGGGCGAAGCCCGAUGCAGCAAAGCCGCGUGCGGGAAGACGGGCUUCCGGUUGGAAACCGCUUUCGCCUGUGACGAAGCGUGAGUGACGGUAAUGGGUAAAGAAGCACCGGCUAACUACGUG
rnacentral:rRNA from 1 species